rnacentral:lncRNA from 1 species
UAUCUUUGGUUUUAGAAAGAGAGCAACAGCAAACGUGAAGGUUCAAAGCAAAUCAUCCAAUCUUGAAGCCUAACAACAUCAAGAGGCCAAGAACGAGGCACAUGUACUAUUCUAUCUGAGUUCCGCUUCGGUACAACCCUCUUAUAAAAUAUAUAAGAAGCAAUAUGGACUUUUUGCCAUGUCGUAUCCACUUUUUUAUGUAUAAUAGAUCACUGGUCCAUAAGUCACGUACGUCUACUCUAUGUGUAGGGGAUACUAAGAAAAUGGCAAUAACAAGGAGUCGAACACGGGACCUCAUACUCUUGGGACACACUGCUUGCCACACGACCUAAGGAAAAGGGUCAUUAGUCCCGGUUUCAGACAGUCUUUAGUUCUGGUUCUCCAACCGGGACUAAAUGCCCAAAGUUUUAGUCCCGGCUGUGUUACGAACCGGGACAAAGGUGCUCCACAUGGCCUAUGUAGGGCGCGAGGACCGGAGGACCUUUAGUCACGGUUGGUAACACCGACCGGGACUAAAACGCGGUCACACGUCAGCAACAGCCAGGCACUGGGUUUUUUAAGGAGGGAUUUAGGGGUUUCAUAUUAUGUUUUCUUCUUUUCUUUUUGUGUCCGUCAUCUUUGCUUCCUUAUGCCUGUUGGUGUUCUCGGUCGGUGUCAUCAUUGAGCUCCAUUCAACUAGAAGGUAGCUAGUACGUACAUAUAGCAAUGAAGAAACAGUUAUACGACAUCGUCAUGAAUAUAGAGAGAAGUGAUCUCUCUUUCUCCAUGCUUGGUCGAACAACAAGUUUUCGUAUAUCUAUUCGACG